ACUUAAUUAAUAAAAUCCUUCCUUAAUAAACAUUCUAAAUAAGAUCUCAUUAAAAAGAGAACUGAAGUGGUAAAUAUUAGUAGCAUUUUUGUCUGUCUGGUACUAUCAUAGAAAUGGAUUUGGGCUUGGGCAUAUCAUGGAUUACGAAUGGCAUUUGAUUCUUUUGUCUUUUGUAACGUCGUGAUCUGGUGACAAAUAGGCGCCUUCACGUGCAUUUAUUUCACUUUUUACUUGUCAUAUUCCAAUAGUGCGAGAGAGAAGGUGAAUGAGCCAUGGAACCUCCUCCAUCACAAUCCAUUGAAGUUUCUGGCACCGGAUGCCAAGCUGGGGAUGAUACACAAGACAAGAUCAUUAAUGAAUGGUUGUCUUGCUGCUAUGACUGUACACAGGGUAUCUUCGAUUUCUUGUGCUGCAACUUUUGUUAGAAGUCUUUAGAUUAAAUUUCAGUGUUAUUACUUUAUAGCAAUAUGUAAAAGUCAUUAGGACAUAGGUAUAUCGAGAUGUUCUUUUCCCCUCCCCUUUGUUAUCGUAGAAUUGGUGGAUGAUCAGAAUUAACUAAGAAAAAGUUGUGAUUUUUAAUCAUUAUUGUGACUAUUAGUAA